rnacentral:rRNA from 1 species
AUUGAACGCUGGCGGCAGGCCUAACACAUUCAAGUCGAGCGAGCGGCGGCCGGGUGAGUAAUGUAUGGGGACUGCCCGAUAGAGGGGUAUAACUCCUGGAAACGGUGGCUAAUACAGCAUACUAUCGGAUAACCCAUAUGCGAUGAGCUAGUAGGUGGGGUAAAGGCUCACCUAGGCGACGAUCACUAGCUGGUCUGAGAGUAUGAUCAGCCACACUGGGACUGAGACACGGGCAAGACUCCGACGGAGGAUGCAGUGUGGAAUAUGGCACAAGGUGCGAAAGACUGAUGCAGCCAUGCCGCGUGUAUGAAGAAGGCCUUAGGGUUGUAAAGUACUUUCAGCGGUGAGGCGUUACCCGCAGAAGAAGCACCGGCGAACUCCGUGCCAGCAGCCGCGGUAAUAC